GUGCUCGCUUCGGCAGCACAUAUAGUAAAAUUGGAAUGAUACAGAGAAGAUUAGCAUGGCCCCUGUGCAAGGAUGACAUGCAAAUUCGUGAAGUGUUCCAUAUUUUU
ensembl:snRNA U6 U6 spliceosomal RNA